rnacentral:rRNA from 1 species
GUGGGGAAUUUUGGGCAAUGGGCGAAAGCCUGACCCAGCAACGCCGCGUGUGGGAUGAAGGCCCUCGGGUCGUAAACCACUGUCAGGAGGAAAGAAUGGCCAGCCGGAUAAUACUCGGUUGGUUUGACGGUACCUCCAAAGGAAGCACCGGCUAACUCCGUGCCAGCAGCCGCGGUAAUACGGAGGGUGCAAGCGUUGUUCGGAAUUACUGGGCGUAAAGCGCAUGCAGGUGGCUGAGUAAGUCGAAUGUGAAAGCCCCGGGCUCAACUCGGGAACUGCAUCCGAAACUGCUCAGCUAGAGUCCCGGAGGGGAGGGCAGAAUUCCCAAUGUAGGGGUGAAAUCCGUAGAUAUUGGGAGGAAUACCGGUGGCGAAGGCGGCCCUCUGGACGGUGACUGACACUCAGAUGCGAAAGCGUGGGGAGCAAACAGGAUUAGAAACCCGGGUAGUCC